rnacentral:rRNA from 1 species
UGAGGAAUAUUGGGCAAUGCCCGAAAGGGUGACCCAGCAACGCCGCGUGGAGGAUGAAGGUCGUAAGAUUGUAAACUCCUGUUAGAGGGGAAGAAUAGUACCGGUUGGACCGGUAUAUGACUGUACCCUCAGAGAAAGCCCCGGCUAACUACGUGCCAGCAGCCGCGGUAAUACGUAGGGGGCAAGCGUUGUCCGGAUUUACUGGGUGUAAAGGGCGCGCAGGCGGAAUGGAAAGUCAGUGGUGAAAUCCUACAGCUUAACUGUAGAACUGCCUUUGAUACUUUCAUUCUUGAGUUCGGGAGAGAGAGACGGAAUUCCAGGUGUAGUGGUGAAAUACGUAGAUAUCUGGAAGAACACCAGUUGCGAAGGCGGUCUCUUGGUCCGAUACUGACGCUGAGGCGCGAAAGCGUGGGGAGCAAACA